UGUUUCCACUUUGGACGAUGACCCAAAACUAGAUACUAGGAUGUCAUAUAGAAAUUUUUACGAUGACUACAAAAUGGGACGAACAGACAAAUCGGCAAGCAGUCAAUACAUUAAUAAUUACUUUGAGGAUCAGUAUAAGGAAAAAUAAACGACCAACGGAAACUCCUGAUUUCUGCCGUGUCAAAAUUCUUCUCUGGAAAUAACAGUUGGCUGUUGAAAAUUUUGAGUGAAAAUAAUAA